UUAAACACCUGACACAACACGAAUCAACGCCAUCUUUGCUUUGACAUACAACGUCGUGCGCUGAGAAUCGACGAAACGAGAACUCGAGCGCGAGUCUCGAACAGGAUUCCCAUAGUGUGUUACAUUCCAGGUUCAGAUACACUUAUAUCUACAACGAAUACGAAGGAAUCAAUGAGGAAGAGUACAAUAUGUUGGUAAAGGAAUGUUGGCAGGAAGGAAAAAAAGAGGAAGAUAGAUGCCGAUGGAUGAGAUGGGGAAAAGGAAAGCAAGAAUAUUUUACAAGGUGUGGGUACUCGGAGAAAGAGGUAGAAAGGUUUGAAAGCGAAGGAAAAGAGAUGUGGAAGGUUUGGGAAGUAACAGAUAGAUGCAAUAAGAGAGAGCAAAUAAGAUCUGAGAAUCUAAAUACGUUCAGAGACAUUGAAAAAUAAUAGUGCUAGAUUGACCAGGUUACACAAAGAGGAAUGAGGAAAGGAGGAAAAUAGAUUGAGAUCCGGAAACAAGGAAAAAAAGAAUAGAUACUGCAAAGAAAGAAGUAAGAGGUGACGCGAGCUAUGUGAAAAAGAGCUGCAGACGCUGAAGGGAUGGCAAGGUGGGUAGAAAGUAUGGAGGAGUCGCUGGAACAUGAGGGAUAAGGAUUGGAAUAGGCAAAACAAUUAGAGGAAAGAAGGAAGAAGCAGAGAAAAGAAAUAGAAAUGAGCUAAUAAAAAGAGCUGUUACGUCUAGCUUAGGAACGAAACAUUCCGCCUGCACGUGUGAUGAAAGAUGAAAUUCUUCGUUCUAUUUACUAAAAUCAGUCAAUUUACGCUUGUAUAAUAGAAAGGUACGACUAAUCUUAGUAACCUAUAUCUAUAUUUAUAACAAACGAAAAAACACAGCCGUUAGUCCUGCAAGUAACGAUAAUCGUUGAGUAACAGCGAUGCUUUUCGAAUAAGCAUCCAGUAUGUAUAUCUUCCAGCCCAUAUUUGCAUGGGUAAAUGAAUUGUAAUAAACGAUAUCUGGCCAGGUAGAGUUCGGUGUAAUUUCUAGCACUCCACCUUCACCUACAAGAAAUGACAGCGAAUGAGGAAACAUUUAUUUGUAGGAAAAAAAAGAACUAGAAACUUCAUAUUUUCUUACCUGGUUCACACGUACUCACUAAUGUUCUAUUAAAUUGUUUAAACGUCAUAAAAUCAUCAUCUAGUCUUCUGUCUCGGGCACCGUGUUUGCUUAAGCAAAGUGGCCCAACUAAGAGAAAUAAGUUGUUCCGGCAUUACGUAUCUCUUUUCGAAAUAAUUUCGAAUACAGCCGGUUCUGUUUUUACACGGAUUUAAUUUUAUAAUUUAUGAAUUUAUAAUAAUUUCAUUUGACGCGGUUCAAACAGCGCCUCCUUAGAAAAUAUUCAUUUCGCACUUUACACUCGAAGCUUAUUGUCUUUGUAAGUUUAUAAAAUAAGAAAUACGUUCAAAUAUGACUAAAAAUUAAAUAAAAAUUCAAUCGAAGAUUUCUACAGGAUUUGCUCGAAAAUAAUGUAUUAAAUAAAAUUAAAUAAAAAUUUCUUCUAAGUUCUCACUCUUGCAAUCUCUACUAUCCUUUUUAUCGCGUGUUUCUUUCUUUUUUUAGAGAAUCAAUUGAUCGUGUAAAAACAGGACCAGGUGUACAAAUGUUUUAUUACGAACCUGCGGUUGGUCUCGGUUGUCCUCUUCUGGUGAACUCAACACCAGCCAAAACUCUGAUUUUACUUUGCGCCGCAUCACUGAGUUUAUCAUAUCCACCGUGUGGUUCAUUAGUUAUAAUCAAUGGGUGGUACAAAUUAGGACUGUGAGGAUUAUUUCCGCCGUGAACACGGAAAUUGUACGUCAAUCCCCGACGCAGAUAUAAUUUGGGUACCAACUGACCCUCGAUGUACCAUGCCAAACCUGUAGACGUUUGUCCUACGAAUUGAACAAACUAAUAUAUCGUUUGAUAUUAAACAUUAACAAACGAACUAUGGAUAUUUAUGUAAAUUCUUUUCCUUUUCUAUAUGAACGCAGUUAAAGAUGAAGAACCCAUGCAAACAUCUAUUUCGUUCGUUAAAUAACAAGUAUUAUUAUAACAAGUAUUAUUAUAACAAGUAUUAUCAUAACAAGUAUUAUGCUACCUAAAUAUGAAUUCUACAAAUUUACUACAUCUUUAAGUAUCCCAUAAAUGAAGAAAUAUUCGCAUUCUCCAUUAAUAAAUACAAUCAGAAUAUUCGAAAUAUCUCGAACUCUAAACCAAACCUGUAAUUCCUUGAUAGCCCUUUUUGCCCCCAGACGGGCCAAUAGUAGCUCUAAACGACCGAAUACUUCUAUCAAAUAUCUCUGUCUUCUCCCAAGGUUCUCUGGCAAAAUAAUGUUUCCAAUUAGUAGCAUCUGUAUAAAUAUUAAUCAUCAGCGUGUUACUUACAUUAGUUUCUCAUUGGUUUCCGUAAAAUCCAUGCACGUGUUCUCCGGUUCUUCAGGAACUAGUUCUAACUUCAGAUCGCUCUUAGGAUAUACAUCGUGGAAAGUCGGCUCUUUAUUUUCAUCCAAUCUUCCCAAAGCCCAUAUCACGUAAACUGGUCUAUUCGUUGGAUACUCUUUAUCUCCUGGGUCAGCUACGAUAUAAAGUGUCCCAUAUAAUUCUCCACUUCGACACUUCUCUUUCACUUUAUGCGCUAACUUACAUGAGUUGAGAGUACGUCUAUAUGUAACGAUACUAAUUCCAUCUUCUCUAACAGCGGUAUACAUUUGGUUAUUAUCUAAACCCCCGAAUAGUUCAUCCCUGCAAACUCCCCUGUAUUGGCCGAGAACUUUUCCACACUGUUGGUGAAAUAGGAAAACGAUUGUUCUUUUUGCUUUACUUUUAUUUAUCAUAUACCACAUUCUACAAGUCAUUCGAGACACUUGCUCAUGGAUAGUAUAGAAUAUUGAAAUUAGGCAUAAAUAGGUGUAAUAAUUACAAACUGAACUUACAUAAUUUUCCAUUAACUGCGUGUAGUAUAAGGAAAACUAACCGUAAGUUAUGCUAUGUUUUGAAGAUUUUAUUACAAAGCAACUUUGUUAAAGUUUGCGUUUAAAAUGAACACGUGUCUCGUAAUGUAUCAUAAGUGUUGAUAAUGUUUUUUACGUACUGGUGCUUUCGCUGUGAUGUUAUAAUCCACAGCGUAGCCUCGAGUACCGUCCACAUAAGCAAUCACAGCAUCCGCGCCUUCCAUUUGGCUAGAAGUUUCGGAACCAGAGAGACCGAAAGCCAUGUAUUCAUCUUCACCUAAGGGUUUUUGUUACACCGAAACAAACUGACUUGCCCCAUUCAUCCGGUACGAUGAAGCCUUGUGGACCAGGUCGAUUCGACGCACCAGCCCAGAAAAAGGUGUCAGCUCCAUUGCCAUCGUAACUAAAGGAAGUUAACAACAACGUGUACUCGUCAACGACGUAAACGUCACCAGCUACUUGAUGAUGAUACGCGUUCAACUUCCCAAGGCGGAGAUUUCAACGCGCGGUCAAGGAACGUCAUUCGACGCCGUGUUCACUACUCGAAUUAUUAUCCAUCGAUUCACUGUCAGAACAUACGAUUGCCUCGUAUAAUCGAACAUUUUGAGAAACAUACCACAGACAGGAAACAGUACACAUGUUAAAACUGUGACAAGAACAGGCGCUAUCCACCUCCUCGUAACAUCUGCCAUCACUUCAUCUUCCUCGGAUUGCUGGAAAUGUCUCAGGUCUUGUUCCUGAACGAUUCGAUUUUAGUUCUGUCGCCACUAAGAUUCAUGGAAAAACGAAAGCUCGAUCGCAAGCCAGGCGACGAAGCCUCUAGAAGAGAACGACAGGGCACGCAGUCACUGCAAUGGACGCGGUUCCGACUUGUUCUGGCCACCGUCUUUAGAAAGUAGACUUUGAGUGUUCGAACGGCUUACUAUACCGCUCUCCAGCCACCUUGGCACGUGUUCCUGUCUCGAAGAGAAAGUGUGCGUGUACUGGAGGUGCCUCGAACGCGUUUCGAUGUCUACGACUCACGGGUUCUCUCAACCUGUCGAAUUGGAGGGACAGUGUCGUUGGACUCCUGCCUUUCCGGUACUCUAAAAUGGAAUGCAAGUCAGAGAGGAAAAAUAAAGUUGUCAGUUGAAUGGCUAAACAGCAUCCGCUGUAGCGCGCUAUGCCGAGGUUACUUAUUUAUUUCUAAAUGCACGUUUGCGAGCUCAGGAUUAUAAUAUUAUUAUUUCUUUCUUUGUUAUUCUUAUUAACAUCAAAGUUCGGAUUUGUUUAACACAAUUAAUGUUGAUUUUUACUGAAACGGAAAUGCCAUUUACGUAUUCCAAGUCAUAUAACGUCUCUAUAUAAUUAAAGGAAGAUUAUUACAAUAUUAUUACAGUAUUACGAUACAAUAAUAUUGAGAAGUAUGCAUUGUACUUCAGAUUCUACAAAAUUCGUUCGUAAAAUUCUAUAAUAAAAUUAAAUAAUUAAAGAAAAGAUAUUAUACAAAUCUUUAAAGUUCCUUCUCACUCGGAAUUCGUUAAUGUAAAUUAAGUAAAAAAGAAUUGCGAAUGAAAUGUUAGCUCAUUGACGUUAUCUUUUUAAUGGAUUAGAAAGACAAAUAUUUGUAAGGCGUGUAUUUCGUGUUUAAAUUCAACGUUAGCAUGUGCAUACAUGUAUGCAUACAUGAUGUUUGAUCGAUUUAGAGCCGGCGCAAUACGAAGUAAAUAACUCUUAGCAGUAUGUUUACAAAGCUCAAGCACUUCGUUAUCUCGAUAAUGUUGAAUACAGAAUUUAAUCGCCAGAUAAAUGGUAAGAUAUUAUACCGAUAUGAUUCUUAAUUCCUUGAAAUAACAUCUUAUAAUUCAUAGAUUCGGUCGAGGAGCAAUUCAUAUGGCUUCUCAGAUUCGCUACAGUAAGAAAGAUCAAAGAUUUUUUAACGAAAAUGUGAGUAAACGAAUGUACGUAUAUCUCUUGAUCAAUUAUAUCUGUCGUUAAUAACCGUUGCUAUAAUUGUAGUCUAUCGAUAGAUCUACAUUAUCCUACGCCAAAUUUAAAAACGCCUAUCACGUCAGCUAUCGAUCGCGGUGAUGCGCAGAUCUUAUCGUUUUUGUUAGAGAAAAAUUCAACCGAUCUGGACAAUACUACUACUCAACCUUGGGCUAGGACUGCCCUUAUGUACGCCUCUUACGUUUCCAGAAACCCAGAAAUAUUACAGAUUCUUUUGAAAAAGGGGGCAGAUCCUGGAAAAGUGGAUAUAUUACGGCGUUUCAAUAAAUCAAAAAGACGUACAGGGAAGAACGCCGCUUAUGAUCUCAGUAUACGGUUCGAACGUGGACAUUCUCUCGAUUUU